GCAAAUGUCAAAACUACCGUGGCGGCAGGACUCGCCGCCGUGAGUGGUGGCGGCACGCUGGGCAGCGCAACGUACCUGGUGACCGGAGCACUCCACGGACGAGGGAGGUCCCGAGAGGACCCGCUUGCGCCGGCGGCCAUGCUCGUGUCUGGAUCUGCGCUGGCGGCACCCUCCAUCCGACUCCCCUGCCCCCAGAUGCUCGCCGGCGCCUCCCUUAUGUAGCGGCUGCUCCCCGUGCUCACGCGUCAGCCUCAAGGUGCCGAUGCUGCGCCGUCCGGGACGUCCGCGUGCGCUGCCCUGGAGCCGUUCCCUUGCGACGUCGGGGCCGCCGCGGAGAAGGCGCCGGUGGUGGAGCCCAUGUCGUCGGUUGAGUCGAGCCAGGGAGGGAGACCACGUCGGCGACCAUGCCAGCAGGGGGAGGGCCCUUCCUCUGUUUCGAAAACGAACAAGGACUGCCCCUAGCUCGGUGACAGAGCCCCUCCUGGUGGUCACCUGCCCGGCUUGCUGCUGCAGCUUCGAGAAGAAGGACCUAGAGCUGGCUCUAGGUGUUCCGCGCGGCGGCCGAUUUGCUCCUGCUCUCCUCCGGUGGCAACCGGGGACAGGAUGUUGCUGAUUGAGCCACUGCUGAGAGCAUCGACAUGAAUGCCAGGAUGGGGAUGAAGAGCGGCAACAGGGAGCUCACGGUGCUUCUCCAAAACACCAAGCUUUAGGUAAAGAGAGAAACAAAGAAGAUGAAGAAGAUAGAGGAAGGAGCAAGACACCACGCGUUCUGAAGAUUCCAUAUCAUGCAUAUGCAUAUUUGUAGAUGCCUGGUAGACUUAUCCUGGUAUUUAUUUGGAUAUUAGAGAUGAUGUGCAAGACUUUCAAGUUAUUUGACUUCUAAACCUCGAUGACAUGCCCUUUUAUUUCAACUGUAUGUCCACAUGUUAGUAAAUAUUGCAUUUCUGUAUGUCCAUAUUCCUAAGUGUGCUCUUAAUUUGAUCAACGUGAAUCGCUGAGCUGAGCAUCUUAGUAUGUCCAUAUCCACAGUUAGUAAAUAGUGCAUUUCUGUAUGUCCAUGUCCGCAUGUUAAUAAACAAUUGCAGCUGUUGGAAUGAGCUGAACAUAGAUAAAAGUGUUCACUUUGAAAUGGUGAUCACUGUUCUAGGAUAAUAGGUUGGUAAUUAACUGAAUUUUUUUGUAAUGCAAUUUUGUAUCCGGAGGGCGUCCCUCGGCACAGCUGGCGGCCUGGACACCGUGUGGCAAGAAAACCCAAAGAAAGUAGCCUCAGAAAUGGAAACUCCUGAGCGCGGACUGGCAUCACUCACAGUGGAGGACCGUCACUACACAACAAGCAAGUUUGUUAGGAGGGUAAAUCUUGAGAUUGGACAUGAUGUGCUAAUCAAGUUCCACUCAAAGGCAGAUCAACGCUGGGAGUCCAUUGUCUUUGAUGUCCUGCACAAUCACUGAUGUUUCAUCCUGUAUCUAUGUAAUGCAAACAGAGUUUUGGUCUUGAAUACACAUUUGUAUUAUUUUGCGAUAUGCUAUCAAGGACAAUUCUUCUUUUUUUAUGACUUUUACUCUCCUGGGCUGUAAGCUUUUGAAUAAUGUAAGCAGUGUUGGCCGACUUGAAUCCGGGAUCCCCUAUAUCCCAGCAGUAUAUGCAUUUGCUUUUUCUUCA